ACAAAGACCCAACAAGCUAAAUAAUACCCAACAUGCAAUAGUUCAAUAAUAUUCAAACAAAACCCAUUCCAUUCCAUUGACAAUUUUAAUAUUUUAUAUUUAACCGUUGUUUAACCAGGCGAGUCGGUUAAGAACAAAUUCUUAUUUACAAUGAUGACAUGGAGUCCUGUAUUUACAGGUGAUAACAUUGUAUUCAAAUAAAGCAUAUAUAUCUUUCACACACAGACCAAAAUCCCACUAAUUUACCAGGCCUGCAUGUUUUAUACCAGGUUAUUGGUAUAUGUGAAAUGGAUAGGGUUGUGAAAACAACACACAUGGAGAAAUAAAAACCACUAGUCACGGUUCCUGCGUUUUCACAGACCCUGGAACCAAAAUGCAGGUUUGAGUCUGUGUGAAUGAUUCUCUGCAGGUUUGAGUCUGUGUGAAUGAUUCUCUGCAGGUUUGAGUCUGUGUGAAUGAUUCUCUGCAGGUUUGAGUCUGUGUGAAUGAUUCUCUGCAGGUUUGAGUCUGUGUGAAUGAUUCUCUGCAGGUUUGAGUCUGUGUGAAUGAUUCUCUGCAGGUUUGAGUCUGUGUGAAUGAUUCUCUGCAGGUUUGAGUCUGUGUGAAUGAUUCUCUGCAGGUUUGAGUCUGUGAAUGAUUCUCUGCAGGUUUGAGUCUGUGUGAAUGAUUCUCUGCAGGUUUGAGUCUGUGUGAAUGGUUCUCUGCAGGUUUGAGUCUGUGUGAAUGAUUCUCUGCAGGUUUGAGUCUGUGUGAAUGAUUCUCUGCAGGUUUGAGUCUGUGUGAAUGAUUCUCUGCAGGUUUGAGUCUGUGUGAAUGAUUCUCUGCAGGUUUGAGUCUGUGUGAAUGGUUCUCUGCAGGUUUGAGUCUGUGUGAAUGGUUCUCUGCAGGUUUGAGUCUGUGUGAAUGAUUCUCUGCAGGUUUGAGUCUGUGUGAAUGAUUCUCUGCAGGUUUGAGUCUGUGUGAAUGAUUCUCUGCAGGUUUGAGUCUGUGUGAAUGAUUCUCUGCAGGUUUGAGUCUGUGUGAAUGAUUCUCUGCAGGUUUGAGUCUGUGUGAAUGGUUCUCUGCAGGUUUGAGUCUGUGUGAAUGAUUCUCUGCAGGUUUGAGUCUGUGUGAAUGGUUCUCUGCAGGUUUGAGUCUGUGUGAAUGAUUCUCUGCAGGUUUGAGUCUGUGUGAAUGGUUCUCUGCAGGUUUGAGUCUGUGUGAAUGAUUCUCUGCAGGUUUGAGUCUGUGUGAAUGAUUCUCUGCAGGUUUGAGUCUGUGUGAAUGAUUCUC